CAACGAUAUUUUGGUCCUCAUACU
rnacentral:siRNA from 1 species